rnacentral:rRNA from 1 species
CACGUAGGCGGAUAUUUAAGUCAGGGGUGAAAUCCCAGAGCUCAACUCUGGAACUGCCUUUGAUACUGGGUAUCUUGAGUAUGGAAGAGGUAAGUGGAAUUCCGAGUGUAGAGGUGAAAUUCGUAGAUAUUCGGAGGAACACCAGUGGCGAAGGCGGCUUACUGGUCCAUUACUGACGCUGAGGUGCGAAAGCGUAGGGAGCAAACA